AAUGAAGCCGGGAAACCGGUCCUUCUAACCCUUGAUUAUCUUAAUUUGUUGCUUUGGUGGGCCGCGCAAGCACCGGCUUCGGCUGGAUUGUGCCCGCCAGAGGACCUAAAACUCUUGAAUUUAAUAUUGUCUGAGUACUAUAUAAUAGUUAAAACUUUCAACAACGGAUCUCUUGGUUCU
rnacentral:misc_RNA from 1 species